UACAGAGGUCUCAAGCGUUGUUCGGAUUCAUUGGGCGUAAAGGGCGCGUAGGCGGCGGGGUAAGUCGGGUGUGAAAUCUCAGAGCUCAACUCUGAAAUGGCACUUGAUACUGCUCUGCUAGAGGACUGGAGAGGAGAUUGGAAUUCACGGUGUAGCAGUGAAAUGCGUAGAUAUCGUGAGGAAGACCAGUGGCGAAGGCGGGUCUCUGGACAGUUCCUGACGCUGAGGCACGAAGGCCAGGGGAGCAAACGGG
rnacentral:rRNA from 1 species